rnacentral:lncRNA from 1 species
CACUUAAGAUGUAGAUACUGAUAAGAAGGCUCUCAAGUCAUUUGGCAAGAGAGCUGGAAAUAUAUAAAGAGGUUAGAGGCAAAAUGGAUUGAGGAAACUUACAAAGUCAAUGUGCAAACAUGGUGCAGAUUGUUUUAUCUGCUGCAUUUCUGAUGAUCUAUGAUGGGAAGGGGCGGGCAACAAUGCAUUAUUUGGUUCUCUUGAAUGUUCUGUAACUUCAUUUUCUUGAUCAUGUAACAGAUUCUGAAGUCACUGAUCCAUCAACGGAAGCG